ensembl:lncRNA
GGGCGGGCAAGUGGGUAAGUCGUUGCGAGACCUCGCGCAGUCGUUGAUGACCCUGGGCUGGGCAGGGAGGUGGCUGCGGGAGAUUUUGUCAGUUUGGGAAAUCCCUCCAAGGAGAGCUGAUAGAUGGUGGACCACACCCAGCUAUUCAAGAGUGUUUGAAUGAAGUACUACCCUAACCUAAAGAUACAGAGCGGGAGAACAGGACUUCUAGAUAUCUCUUCUGAAUUUCAGAUUAUAAGGAAGAUUAGCUCUGAACUAACAUCUGCUGCCAAUCCUCCUCUUUUUGCUGAGGAAGACUGGCCCUGAGCUAACAUCUGUGCCCAACUUCCUCUGCUUUCUAUGUGGGACGCCUACCACAGCAUGGCGUGCAAGCGGUGCCAUGUCCGCACCCAGGAUCCCGGCCGGUGAACCCUGGCUGCCGAAGCGGAAUGUGUAUACUUAACUGCUGUGCCACCAGGCCGGCCUCUGGAAUACCUUUUUAUUUGUGUGUGCAUAGAUGUGCACAUUUCAGUUUCUUAAGCUAAAAGUGGCCACAAAGGGUAAUGAUAUCAACACAAUAAUGUCUACCAGUUACUGAGUGUUUCUUCCUGCCAGGGAGUUUACUUGCACCUAUCGUCUCAUUUAAACAACACUCCAAAGCCGAGUUUCAUUUUCCUGGUUUUCAAGCUCAGGAAACGGAAUGCCAGAAGUUAGAGGUUAAAGGAGUUGCCUGUAGUCACGGAGCAGGUGGGUGGUGGAGUGGGGUUUUGAACCUGCAUCCACAGGACUCGAAACCCCAUGCUUUGAGCACAGUUAAAAAGAGUCUCAUGAUGCCAGACUAGGAUGUAAAUGUACCUGCCACAAUUUAACGUCCCUAAGAUGUUGCGCAAUCAGUAAGGACACAGGAAAUAGCAUUCUAGAUCCAAAAUAUGGCUCAUCUAGCCCAGGAGUCUGUCUGGCUCAAAUGAAAUUUGGGAGCCUACAUGAUGACUUUCAGAAAAAAAAAAAAUAGAAUGAUUUGUCAAAACUGGAUCACUUGCAAAAUUUGUUGUAAAACAGCUGUUUCUAUGUAUAUUGAAAGUACUUUUAAAAGAUUGUUAAAAUUGAGAGCCGCACGAUAAGGAGCUUGGGCACCAUCAACAAACAUCCCAAAUCUAAGCAAGCUGUCAAGCCCUAAAACUUGGGUUUUAAUCGGGGAACCUGAGUAAAGAGUGUAUGGGAAUUCUUUGUACUGUUUUUACAACUUUUUUAUGAGACUAAAAUUUUCUUCAUAUUAAAAAGUUUAGUUUUAAUAACUUGGGUUUUAAUGGAGAGAGCAUCUGGCCAUAAUUUGGAUGGUUUGAGUAACACUGCUGCUAUGGAUAAUGGGCACAUUUAGUCCAAGCCAGCAUUUCAGUGAACCACAACUGUGGUUCAGCUCUUUCUUUUUAUUCCUUAUUGCUGUUUCUAAUAAAGCAAGAUGUUAAAACUAACUACAUGCUCUAUUAAUUAUAUGAAGGUGAACUUGAGUCAUAUUUGUUACUGAAGAUGAUUAAUAAUUACCAGUUCUGCACACGUUUCUGGUGCAUUUCAGUAAAUAAACAGGGUACGUUCUUGGGUAGUAAUUGAUUAAUUAGCACAUUCAUCCUACACAGCUCAAUGGUCUAAGGAUGCUGAGUUUGAGAUAUUGCUCAUAAUUAUUACAAGAAACAAAUCUGUUCCAUUUCUCCGUUUAGUCUGUAUGCUGGUUUUUUUUUCCUAAAUCGAAUGUUUAAUGGUUCAAAACCUUAUAGGUUUUAUUCAGAUAAAUCAACUCAUGAAAAAUUGCUAGUCAUAAUCUCAGAAUCUUGUUUUUGUGUGAACCAGGGUGAAAACUUUCACAAGGCUAAUUUUAACAUUAGAUCUUGCUGUUAAACUGGAUCAAAUACUGUAAAUAUAGGGCACUUCCCCACCAUGCAGGAAAUGCUCAUUGAGCACCUAUGCGCAACAGGGGCACUGGAAUCUCAUUUGCUUCCCAACCACAUCAAAUAAGCUCAGGAUUGCAAGUGUCAUCAGGCUGGCACUUCGCAGCACCGAGCAAAUAUACGGUGUAAUCUUCAGAGAAAUGUAACAGCAUGUGUUGGUCACCAUUUUAAUUAUGCAGUAAUUUAGGAUUUUUUUUCUAAUUUAUUGAGCCAGCAUGUAGUUGAGAGAGAGGGUAGCUGAGAGAGCGUUAGACAGGGAGUCAGGAGUCCUGGGUUCUACUCUAUCCAUAUUCUUCCUUGAAGAAGCUCUGGGACUCUGGGCACAUUACUACCCCCUUCUCUACGCAUGGAUCACUCAUCUGUAAAAUGAAGGCUUCAACCAGGGACGACGAGGUACCCUGGGAGCCCAAGCUGCACAGACAGAUAGACCUAGGUUUGAGUCUGGACUCCUAUUACUGGUUUAUUAUUUUAGGGAAAUUAUUUAACCUGUCUGAGUUUCUGCUCUGUUUACUUGAGUUUAUUGUAAGGAUCAAAUGAGUUGUGAAAAUUGUUCGUAAACUAUAAAAUACCAUAUGAGUACAAGGCAUUGUUAAUAUUAUUAAUAUCUUAGCUGGUUGACAUUAAUGAGAUAUGUAUUUGAAGGAUGCAUCAAGAUGCUCACGUACUAGUCUGACAAUAGGGGAAUUAUUAACAUCCUUUAUACCAUUAUUAAAAUCGCAGUGGGUAAGAAUUUUCGGUGUGCCUUCAUAAUUUAUUGCUAAGUGAAAAACACAGUCUGGAAAACAGUAUGUCUGAUAUGAUCCUAUUGAAAAAAUUAUAUACACAAAGAUAAGACUAUAUAAUAGGAACUCAAUAUAUAUUUGAUAAAAGAACAAAUGCAACAUAUAUGUUAAUCGAGCAACUCUUACUAUGGAUAGGUAUUGUCUAGGAGCCAGGGCUAUGUCCUUACACUUACAAUCCACUGGGUGAGACAGAUAAAAAAUAAAUCUGUUAAUUUUGGGAAUUAUCUUUACAGUCUCGUGUGCAUGUGUGUGCAUGUGUGCACAUAUACAUAUACACAUUUUUCAAAAGCCAUAACUGGAGUCACAGUUUUCCUUCUGUUUUAAAAUAUGCUUCUUUACUUAAUAGUAAUUAAAUAUCAUUUCAUUUUCUUCUGAUAUAACAUAUUCUCCUAAUACAUGAUUUUUUAAAAAACAGCUUUUGAAGUGUAGUUGACAUUCAACCAUUGCAUGUACUUAAGAUGUACAAUUUGAUAAGUUUUGACAUAUGCAUACUUGUGAGAGACCAUUUUCACAGUCUACAUAGUGAAGCUAUCCAUCACCCCUAAAAUUUUCCUUAUGCCCCUUUGUAAUCCUUCUGCUCCUCCUCAUCCCCACCACCCCACUUCCCACCCCUAGGCAACCAUGGAUCUGCUUUUUGUCACUGUAGAUUUUAUUUUCUGG